GAUAAACGCUGGCGGCGUGCCUAAUACAUGCAAGUCGAGCGAACGGACGAGAAGCUUGCUUCUCUGAUGUUAGCGGCGGACGGGUGGGUAACACGUGGAUAACCUACCUAUAAGACUGGGAUAACUUCGGGAAACCGGAGCUAAUACCGGAUAAUAUUUUGAACCGCAUGGUUCAAAAGUGAAAGACGGUCUUGCUGUCACUUAUAGAUGGAUCCGCGCUGCAUUAGCUAGUUGGUAAGGUAACGGCUUACCAAGGCAACGAUGCAUAGCCGACCUGAGAGGGUGAUCGGCCACACUGGAACUGAGACACGGUCCAGACUCCUACGGGAGGCAGCAGUAGGGAAUCUUCCGCAAUGGGCGAAAGCCUGACGGAGCAACGCCGCGUGAGUGAUGAAGGUCUUCGGAUCGUANAACUCUGUUAUUAGGGAAGAACAUAUGUGUAAGUAACUGUGCACAUCUUGACGGUACCUAAUCAGAAAAGCACGGCUAACUACGUGCCAGCAGCCGCGGUAAUACGUAGGUGGCAAGCGUUAUCCCGAANUUAUGGGCGUAAGCGCGCGUANGCGGUUUUUUAAGUCUGAUGUGAAAGCCCACGGCUCAACCGUGGAGGGUCAUUGGAAACUGGAAAACUUGAGUGCAGAAGAGGAAAGUGGAAUUCCAUGUGUAGCGGUGAAAUGCGCAGAGAUAUGGAGGAACACCAGUGGCGAAGGCGACUUUCUGGUCUGUAACUGACGCUGAUGUGCGAAAGCGUGGGGAUCAAACAGGAUUAGAUACCCUGGUAGUCCACGCCGUAAACGAUGAGUGCUAAGUGUUAGGGGGUUUCCGCCCCUUAGUGCUGCAGCUAACGCAUUAAGCACUCCGCCUGGGGAGUACGACCGCAAGGUUGAAACUCAAAGGAAUUGACGGGGACCCGCACAAGCGGUGGAGCAUGUGGUUUAAUUCGAAGCAACGCGAAGAACCUUACCAAAUCUUGACAUCCUUUGACAACUCUAGAGAUAGAGCCUUCCCCUUCGGGGGACAAAGUGACAGGUGGUGCAUGGUUGUCGUCAGCUCGUGUCGUGAGAUGUUGGGUUAAGUCCCGCAACGAGCGCAACCCUUAAGCUUAGUUGCCAUCAUUAAGUUGGGCACUCUAAGUUGACUGCCGGUGACAAACCGGAGGAAGGUGGGGAUGACGUCAAAUCAUCAUGCCCCUUAUGAUUUGGGCUACACACGUGCUACAAUGGACAAUACAAAGGGCAGCGAAACCGCGAGGUCAAGCAAAUCCCAUAAAGUUGUUCUCAGUUCGGAUUGUAGUCUGCAACUCGACUACAUGAAGCUGGAAUCGCUAGUAAUCGUAGAUCAGCAUGCUACGGUGAAUACGUUCCCGGGUCU
rnacentral:rRNA from 1 species